rnacentral:rRNA from 1 species
UUAGUUAGUUUGGUGAGGUAAUGGCCCACCAAGACUAUGAUGUUUUAGCCGGGUCGAGAGACUGAACGGCCCACCAUUGGGACUGAGAUACGGCCCAAACUCCUACGGGAGGCAGCAGUAGGGAAUAUUCCACAAUGAGCGAAAGCUUGAUGGAGCGACACAGCGUGCACGAUGAAGGUCUUCGGAUUGUAAAGUGCUGUUAUAAGGGAAGAACAUUUGCAAUAGGAAAUGAUUGCAGACUGACGGUACCUUGUCAGAAAGCGAUGGCUAACUAUGUGCCAGCAGCCGCGGUAAU